CAUAGCGUUUUGGACCCACCUGACUCCAUCCCGAACUCAGAAGUGAAACGAAACAGCGUCGAUGGUAGUGUGGGGUCUCCCCCAUGUGAGAGUAGAAC
rnacentral:rRNA from 1 species